UGAAUUACACGUGUGUUAGGUGUAAUCUGUAGCGUUAAAUAACAUAAACUGAGAGUUUGUUAAUGACUGUAACAAAGCUCUUUUUGAAACCUUUGGGAUAGAGCAUGCUGUAACUUCAGCCUACCACCCGCAGCGCAAUGGGCAAGAUGAGCGCUCAAACCAGAACAUUAAGCGGCAUCUUGCAAAGUACUGUAAUGAGGAGCGGAAUGACUGGGACGUCUAUCUGCAACACGCUGUUUAUUCGAUAAACACCUCGAAGCAGCGUUCCACAAAGGUGAGCCCAUAUUUUGCAAUUUAUCGGGUUCAUCACGGCAGCAGCGCCGAUCCAAAGGUAGAUGACUUUGAGAUCGCGAACAGUGAAGAGACGCUGCAGAGGAACGUUGGGCUGGACCGUUUAAGGUGGAGUCCAUGACAGCCAAAAGAGUGUCCAGAUUGGUUGACAGGUUGAAUGUUCGCCAUUUGAAGCCAUAUGUUCGUCGAACAGACACGCCCAAAGAUGUCGGCAUCGCUUCUGAUGUCCAGGAAUUGAGUGUAUUGUGCGACAUCUCGAUGGAAGCUGUAGGUGCUGAAUGUAGGUAUUUCUUCAUUUAUACAUCUCCACAUAUGUACUGUCAAGUUCAAUGUAGAGUGUUGAAUGUGUUUUAUGUUCCUUUUUCCUAAAAGGUGCAGAUGUUGAUCACACAUUGGAAGUUGUCGUGCCACGUUUCGCGACUUAGACAGUCUGGCAGGCCCAGAGUUCAACUGGCUGACCGAUGAUAUUGUGAAUACGUGCGUUGCAGUGAUUGCUGCAGAUCACAAACAACGUUCCACUGACAAAGCCGUGUUCCACGCCCUUACCACAGACGCAUACACGUUGUGGUGUCGUGACUGGACAGCACAUAGUUGUGUUACGGAAAGAACUUUAAGCUGUAUCAAUGGCAUUAAGCCAGAUGGCGUGGUGCUACUGCCCCGUCUCGUUGGUCUGCGUUAAAAUAAAGCUUUACAGGUUUGGUCAGCGGACACCUGGGGUUAAAUGCGUUGUACUGUAGCUUUACAGGUUCGGUUAGAUAAGGUAAAGUUGUGCCCUGCUGCUGGCGUUCCCUAGUCAAUGCCAGUCACUUGGAGUUAGACAUGCCUUGCUUCUGUCACCGGUCACAUGGGUUAGACUUUGUCUUACAGGUGUGGUUAGCGCACACCUGGGGUUAGAAAGAUGUGCCUUGUUUUUACUGUCUUACAGGUGUGGUCAGCGAGCAGUGCGUGCGUUGCGCUUGUAGGAAGUCCUUUACGGUUCC